CUCCAAACAACAAGAUCAAAAUUUCGUCUUAGCAUGUGACCCAAGGAUCGUAAAGCUGAAGAUGACAAUAAAGAUACUUUGACUACGACUUGACGAGGGAACCGUCACUCUGCGUCAAUCGGGCGUCAACCGGGCGUCAUUAAGGACCACAAUUUACUCAGGCUACACUUCGAGGGAGACAAAAGCCUGAGACAACAACGGAAAUGAGCCUUUAACGUUUAUGACUCACCAAAGUAAUCACACGAGCAUGCACCUUUCAUUUUUGGAAAAUGAAGGCGCUGCUCCAAACGUUUACUCAAAGAAGGCAGAGAAGAUAAAGUGAAGAACUGCGGGAGAUUUAUAACAGAGGAAGAGAAGAGAAAUGAGGUGUUGGAGCUGAUUUAGAGCUUGUGCUGUCGACUAAAUGAGUACAUGGAACACCGGAGAUUGGUGAGUCCUGAUGGCUGUCCUUCUGAGCAGCUCACUCACGCUCAGCAGGGUGUAGACAGAGAGGCCGGCGACGCUUCUGCAGACGACUUCCACUGGAGGGCAGUGUGCUCACCACCCCUGUCUCCGAGAAUCGUCCAGAAGCCCCUGGUACUUGGCCAGCUUCCUCUCAAAAGCUGAAUGUGCCGGGGCUCUGCUGGCCAGGUGUCCAUCAAAGGGAGCCUUUGUUCCAUUGUAUUCUCCCUUCUCAUCCAACCUCCCUGCUGCCUCAUGCCUGCCAUCCUUCUGCUUCUUUCCCCGUCCAUUGCUGCUCUCACCUUCCUGGACAAGCCGCCGCGUCUCCUCGCCCUGGAUCUUGUUGUGUUGACGCGUUGAAAAGCUGCCCAAUCCUGAUCUUCCCAUUGCCACCUGCCCCAACCCCAGCCUUGUUCCUCAGCCUCGCUUCUGCCAUCUGCAGCUCCCUAACCCUGACCCACUCCAUUUCCUGCCGGUCCGGAUCUCAGCGCCUGCGAGACAGUUUGCCGUCCUUGGAGUCCCUGUACUCCAGUGAUUCUCUAGGACGGGAGACCUUCAACUCUUCCGUGACACUGCUCAAAGGAAGCUGCAAAAGGUAACAUGAAUGCGAGAUGUCAGACAAGAGUGGAAUAUUCCCUGGCACCCGGGUGACGACAUGAUAGCAAAAUAAUAUCAGACAUGUUUGUAUAUUUGUAAAAAUCCAAACAAAAUAUCCAUGUUGUUCCUGGUGCGUUAUGAACGAUACAACCAUCAGGCUAGU